UUUCCCAUAGGUUGACAUCUUCUGCAAUGCCCUCGACAUCUGUGGCUACCAUGAUGUUUCCUAUGACUGUAGAGAGACAUACAACCAUGAGAUCUUGUCCUCAUCUAGUGUGUACACCACUGGUGGCACAGGUGUUCAAGUUACUGGUACCACAGGCUUGGCCCUGCAUGAUGACACCCUGAAGAUAAUCUCUGACAAGAUCUCAUCCAACUGGAAGCUUGUCUGUCAGGCCCUUGGUUGUGGAGUGGACUUCAUGACCAAGAUUGAGCACGAUUGUGGUGAUGACCUCUACCUGUGUGCUCACACCAUGCUCAAGGACUGGUGUGAUUCCAUCGAUGUGUCAUACAGCGAUAAGGUCACAUACUUGUGUCAGGCCCUGGAUAUCUGUGGCUUCACCGACUGUGUGUCUAUCGUGCAAGACAAGUAUCGCACAGAGUGCAGCCUGGUGCUGUCUGAUUCCAAGAUCAGCCACUACUGUGACACCAUCAGCAGGGAUUGGAAGGAGAUCUGCAUUGCUCUGCACUGUGAUGAUGACUUCA